rnacentral:rRNA from 1 species
CAGCCGCGGUAAUUCCAGCUCCAAUAGCGUAUACUAAAGUUGUUGCGGUUAAAAAGCUCGUAGUUGGAUCUUGGAAUGUGUUCAAGCGGGUCAGCUUCUGGCUGUGCGCUGCUUGACGUGUUCUUCUAUUUGGUUUUGGUGCGGUGCGCUUAACUGCGUGUCGCUCCCGGCCGAAACGUUUACCUUGAAAAAAUUAGAGUGUUCAAAGCAGACCUGUUUGAGUCUGAAUAUUCGUGCAUGGAAUAAUGAAAUAUGAAUUCGGUUCUAUUUUGUUGGUUUUCGGAACUCGAGUUAAUGAUCAAGAGGGACAGACGGGGGCAUUCGUACUCUGCCGUUAGAGGUGAAAUUCUUGGAUCGGCGGAAGACGCGCAACUGCGAAAGCAUUUGCCAAGAAUGUUUUCUUUAAUCAAGAACGAUAGUCGGAGGUUCGAAGACGAUCAGAUACCGUCCUAGUUUCGACUGUAAACUAUGCCAGCUAACGAUCAGACAGAGUUCUCUACGACUUGUCUGGCAGUUUCCGGGAAACCAAAGCGUUUGGGUUCCGGGGGAAGUAUGGUUGCAAAGCUGAAACUUAAAGGAAUUGACGGAAGGGCACCACCAGGAGUGGAGCCUGCGGCUUAAUUUGACUCAACACGGGGAAACUCACCCGGCCCGGACACAGUGAGGAUUGACAGAUUGAGAGUUCUUUCUUGAUUCUGUGGGUGGUGGUGCAUGGCCGUUCUUAGUUGGUGGAGCGAUUUGUCUGGUUAAUUCCGAUAACGAACGAGACUCUGGCAUGUUAAAUAGUCGCGGAAGUGCGUAUGCACUUGCCGAAUUGACUUCUUAGAGGGACUAGUGAUUUUAAUUCACACGAGAUUGAGCAAUAACAGGUCUGUGAU